GGAUACAAAUCUGUCCCCAAAACUUUCCAUCUCUAGCCACAUUUCAAAACAAAUGGGUGUGGACAUUCUAUUGAAAAGAUGGUGGCUUGUGGAGCCUAACAAAUGCUAAUUCAUCACUAAUUCUUAAAAACAACACACACAAAAAGAGUGGGUUGAAGAAGGAAGGGGAAGGAGAAUUUAUGACUGGAUGGGGAAACAACUGAAAGAUAGUCUCUUAGAAAGUACAGGAAUGACCAAAUACACACCCAUUGUGAUCUCAUAACAUAUGAAUGUUUGUGGCCCCUGCAAUGACCUGCAAAGUUGACAAAUUGGCCAAGAAAAUCAACUUUUCCCUCUUGAGCAGUGCUUCGGGGAGCCUCUCAGUCCUUGGAGGCAGCUAUGCUGAAGACAGGGGAGUCUCAAAGUUUUAUAAAUAAAGAGCUGG